GUCUUCACUGGAUGGGAGUUUGAAUGUAAAUUAUACAGGAGUGUUAUCCAUUUGUUUGUAUGUGCUGUGCCAUAUGACAUGGGUGAUCAUGGUCUUUCUAUGAUUAUGAUUGUUCUUGGCAAAUUUUUCUACAGAAUUGGUUUCUUCUGGGCAGUGUCCUUACUAGAUGGAUGACCCCAGCCGUUAUCAAUACUCUUCAGAGAUUGUCUACCUGGUAUCAGAGGUCGCAUAACUAAAGGGUUCAAAGGUUCAUUUCAUUGUCAAAGUAUGCAUGUGCAAAGCAACUCUGAUAGCCAUGAAAUACAGUAAGGACAUGGGUGUUGUUGAAAGAAAAGACGUCAACUCCACCUUCCCUGGGCACGAAAAAGAAACAAAACUCACAAGCGCCCAACCUUCCCUCACAGAUAAAACAGCACCAGUAGCAUCAAAUUCCCAACCCACUCAUUUGCAGAAGAGAACAGCAACAAUAAUGUCAAAACCCCUUACCCCCCCAUACAAAAAAAUGAACAGAUCACCCACCUGCCAGUCGACCACAAGAUAGAAAACACCAAGCAACUGAAGGAGACCAAUAUAAAGUACAGUCCAGUAAUCACAUCAAUCUCAGAAUGUUGAAAACAUCUUUCCCUCAGCAUACAAGGAGAACAGCCACACAAACUCAGUCCUUCUGUGAAGAGCGACCACCAUGAUGGAUAGUACUGCCUCUGACUCGGCUGCAGACUGGCUGAUGGCUUCUGUUGAGAGUGAUCCCUGACCCCCCUCCAUUCACCUCAAUGCUUCAGUCUUCCUUGACUCUUCGAAGUGGAGUCACUCAUGACCCCACACCCUGUGUCUGGUCUUUUCCACAUGUCAGCUCAUGUUCUCAGUCCUUUUCUCUGAUCUUCUCCUCGAGGCAGCUCUCCGGAUACAACAGAGUGCUAGGUCAUUUGAUCGAGUUCCGAACCACAUGUCACGGACUCUGUUUCCGUGACAAAAAGAACAAGCAGAAGGUGUAGAAAAACCAAGAUUUGUGAUGUACACCAGCUUCUCAUGUGACCAGCUGCUCCCAUAGCUUCAUAUAACCUUGAUUGUGGUGUUGGUAAGCAGGUGCUGCACCUUGCCUAAGGAUAACCUGCAGGCUAGCGAAGGGCCUCCUUUGGUUGAGACGUACCCUUUGACAAGGUCCCGCAUGGGAGGUUAGUUAGGAAGAUUCAGUCGCUAGGUAUACAUGGAGAGGUAGUAAAUUGGUUUAGACAUUGGCUCAAUGGGAGAAGCCAGAGAGUGGUAGUGGAGGAUUGCUAUUGAGUGGAGGCCUGUGACUAGUGGUGUGCCACAGGGAUCAGUGCUGGGUCCAUUGUUAUUUGUCGUCUAUAUCAAUGAUCUGGAUGAUAAUGUGGCAAAUUGGAUCAGCAAAUUUGCUGAUGAUACAAAGAUUGGAGGAGCAGUGGACAGUGAGGAAGGUUUUCAAAGCUUGCAGAGGGAUUUGGACCAGCUGGAGGAAUGGGCAGAAAAAUGGCAGAUGGAGUUUAAUGCGGACAAGUGUGAGGUAUUGCAUUUUAGAAGGUCAAACCAAGGUAGAACAAACAAGGUAAAUGGUAGGACACUGAGGAGUGCAGUAGAACAGAGGGAUCUGGGAGUACAGAUACAUAAUUCCCUAAAAGUGGCAUCACAAGUAGAUAGGGUCGUAAAGAGAGCUUUUGGUACAUUGGCCUUUAUAAAUCAAAGUAUUGAGUAUAAGAGUUGGAAUGUAAUGAUGAGGUUGUAUAAAACAUUGGUGAGACCGAAUUUGGAGUGUAUGUGCAGUUUUGGUCACCUAAUUACAGGAAAGAUGUUAAUAAGGUUGAAAGAGUGCAGAGAAGGUUUACAAGGAUGUUGCCGGGACUUGAGAAACUGAGUUACAGAGAAAGGUUGAAUAGGUUAGGACUUUAUUCCCUGGAGCAUAGGAGAAUGAGGGAUGAUUUGAUAGAGGUGUAUAAAAUUAUGAUGGGUAUAGAUAGAGGGAAUGCAAGCAGGCUUUUUCCACUGAGGCCAGGGGAGAAAAAAACCAUAGGUUAAGGGUGAAGGGGGAAAAGUUUAAAGGGAACAGUGAGGGGGCUUCUUCACACAGAGCGUGGUGGGAGUGUGGAAUGACCUGCCAGAUGAAGUGGUGAAUGUGGGCUCACUUUCGACAUUUAAGAAAAACUUAGACGGGUAUAGGGAUGAGAGGGGUUUGGAGGAAUAUGGCCCAGGUGCAAGUCAGUGGGACUAAGCAGAAAAAUGGUUCUGGAAAGCCAAGAAGGGCCAAAAGGCCUGUUUCUGUGCUGUAAUGUUCUAUGAUAUCCCUACUCCAUCACCCAGGAGUGUUAUUAGGGUACUGAAUUGAACCCUCCCCUACAGCAUAAAGCUGGUGAAAGUACAGAACAUAAUUACAAAAUAGGGAAAAUAUUCUCAAGCUUUCCUGAUAACUGAACACUUGUGUCUGGUCAGAUAGAAACCAGGGGAAAAACCCAGCGGCUUGUCAGGCUUGUAGAGUUUAGCCAGAACUAAGCCAGGGCUACUCCAGUCAGUUUCUGACCUAGGGCUGGGUAGUGCAUUUGGACUUGGGGGGUGGAUGGUUGGGUAUACUGGUUUAUUAUUGUCACCUGUACCAACCUAUAGUGAAAAGCUUGUCCUGCACACCCUUUAUACGGAUCAAAUUAUACAGAGCAUCGAGCUAGAAUAAAGUGAAACAAUAACAACGCAGAACAAAGUGGAAAAGCUAUUGAAAGAGUGCAUUGCACCUAUAUGAUGAUAACAAGGUAGAUUGUGAGGCCAGAACUUCGUCUUAUCAUUAAAGAGGUCUGAUAAUGUCGUGGUUUUUCGUGCCCCACAAAUGACCAGGAGACACAGAAGAUUCUUCAAGAAGGGUUAAACUUUAAUUUGCAAAAGCUAAGACAGUCAUUGAGCUAGCCACUGAUUGCCCACCGAUCCUUGUGCAUAGCAUUUUUUAUAGCAAUCUCCUGGUUUAGUUGCAUUAGUAUAUCCAAUCGGUCUACAGUUGCGUAUCACACGUACAUCCGCCACUAUUGUUUCUACCUAUUGACUUAAUCAUGUUCUAAUCUACAUCUCUUAGCUACCUCUCAUUAACACACCAUUGUCUUCUACAUUCAAUUGGAUACAUGCAUAGCAAAUAGCAAGCUCAAAGCUGACUACAUAGUUUUGGUUAUACAGCAAACAAUGCAACUUUUAUACUCCAAUAAUAACAGUGGGGUAGAAGCUGACCUUGAGCCUGGUGGUAUGUGCUGUCCGGCCUUUGUACCUUCUGCCUGACGAGAGGGUGAAGAAAGAGAGAUUUUGCAGAGUGGGUGGGGUCUUACUGGGGCAACAGGAAGUGUAGGCAGAAUCUAGGCUGUUUGCUGUGAUGUGCUUAGCUGUGUCCACAGCUCUCUGCAGUUUCUUGCAGUCACAUGCAGAACAGAUGCUGCAAGAAGCUGUAAUGCAUCCAGACAGAAUGCUUUUUACAGUCCAUCAAAAAAAAAUUGGUAAGAGUUGAGGGAGGCUUUAGCGACAAGAUUUCUUUAGCCUGCUGAUGAAGUAGAGGCAUUGGUGAGCUUUCCUGGUCAUGGCAUCAAUGUGGUUGGACUAGGACAGACUAUUGGUAAUCUAAUUGCCAAUAAGAGAAGGUGUCAAAAUUGCCCUGUUUCUGCUCUUCUUUUAAGGACACCAACCCCCCCCCCCCCCCCCAUGGGUAUCAAGAGAGGUUCCAGCUGUGGGAUCUAUAAACAAGAUGCUUAUAAAGUUCAAUAACUCUAAGAUCACCAGUUAAAUAAUUCCAAUCCAUCUGUAAAGAUGUUGUUCCGUCAUUCCAUGACCAUGUGGGUUUCCUCCAGGUGCUCUGGUUUCCUCCCACAUUCCAAAAACGUACAAGUGUCACGUACCCCGUGACAGGUUAAAGAACCAGCAGAAAUGGAAAAUGCAUUGGAGUCUGGUAUUGCUAAUAACUAAUAGUGUUUAUUAGUAACUACGCAAUACAGUACUAUAAAUACAAAUAUAUCAGACAGGUUAGCAAUGAUAUGUAUACACACACACAUAAGUAUGGAAAUAGGAACAAAACUAGGAUCUUUCAAAUCCAGGGGUGCACGGCUACAGUCUUACAAUGAUGAAGAGAGUUCAGUUCAGUUCGAGGUAGUUAGUUGAGUAAUGUUGGAGAGAGGGAGAGAGGUGAGCUGAUGCCAUCGAUCUUCUUGUUGUUUCCGAAAUCCUGUUGAAGUCACCGACUGUGACCAUAACAGGUACGACCGUUCUUCAGUGAUGGAAUUAUCACCCAGGUGAGGGUGGACACACAAAUAAUUCCCCACCGGUUGCACCUUUUCACACUGCGAGAGCCGCUGAUCAAUUUCCCUGAAUCGAUCCUCCAAAACCUCAUCUUCCUGUGGGCGCAACAAAGCUCGUUCAGUGUCCAAAACCGUGUGUGUCCUGUGUAUCAGCGGACCUGGUUUUUAUCUCCACAUGUUGGACAUCAGCUGUCCAUCAAGCUGCUCCGCCCUCCUCUCUCUGCAGGAACUUUGCAAGCAGGCAAGUGUCCUCGGAAAGGUAAACAACUUGUAUAACAUCAAUCUUUCAAGCAGUUUCUGUCUCUCUCUCUCUCUCUCUCUCUCACUGCGUUGGACACCUCCCUCUCUCUCUCUCUCUCUGUAACAGCUCAAACUGUGUCUAAAAGUCAGUCUCAUUUUCCAGACGUUUUAAAGUGAUAGUCCACAGAAAAUAUGAACCCUAGGGGUUCAUAACACAAGUCAGUUGGUCAGUCAAUCAUUAUAAAUUGUCCUGUGAUUGGGCUAGGACGGGGGUCAGCAACCUGCGGCUCCCGAGCCAUUUGUGGCUCUUUCACCUCUGUGCUGCGGCUCCCUGUGGCUUUGGGAAAUAAUUGGUCAGUAUUUAAUUAAAAUGUAUUUUAUGUUAGUUUGUUAGCUUUUGAAAUGUAAUUCUAAAUUUGAAGAUUAUGGUGAUCUUGUACAAUCUAAGUGUGGCGACACAUUUCCUGGCACAUCCGAAACGGCUCACAAUUAGCCAGCAUUCCGGCUAAGGGAGAUAGCCUACGGGGGUUUGUGAGUACGCGUCUUUUGCAGCAUCUGCGUCCAUGGGGGCUGGGUUGAGGGAGGCUUAAAAGCAAGGCUGUUUAGUUCGAAUAAAGUUAUUCGACUGCAGUUUACUGACUGCGUGAGCACACCGCUACAAAGUGUUUUUAUCGCUAUUAAUAUACGUCACCACUGCCAAUACCUGACACCCGCCAGUGCGCGAUUUCUUUAAUUUUUCGAUCCAAGGUAAGCCAACUAUGGAGAAUUCUAAAAAAAGAAAAGUGACUGAAGAAAACAGAACGUUUAAUGAUACGUGGACAGAUUCAUUUGCUUUCACUGUUGACGAGACUGGUUUACCGGUAUGCUUAAUAUGCAAUGAGAAACUAGCAAACAACAAAAAGUCAAAUGUCGCAAGGCAUUUCCAGAGUAAACACGCAGCCUUUGCUCAAAAAUAUCCGGAUGGAGAUGAGAGAAAAAAAGCCAUUUCGGAACUGAUGCGGAAGGUUGAUCUGAGCAAAAAUCAUUUCCAGAAAUGGAUGAAGUCUGGAAAAUCAACGACAUACGCCAGUUAUAUUGCCGCUCAGGAAAUAGUCAGGCACGGGAAGCAGUUUACAGAUGGUGAAUAUAUAAAAGAAUCUUUCAUUAAGAUUUCAGAACAUCUAUUCACGGACUUUAAAAACAAGAGUGAAAUUGUGCAGAAAAUCAGGGAUAUGCCCCUCUCUGCAAAGACUGUCAAAGACAGAACCAUAAAAAUGGCAGAAGACAUCACAAGACAGCAAAUUAAAGACAUCAAUUCAGCUGUGGCCUACUCGAUUGCCUGUGACGAGUCUAAAGACAAAGGUGAUAUUGAACAAAUAGCGUUGUUCUGCCGGUAUGUAAACUCUGCUGGGCCACAGGAAGAACUGAUUGAGUUGAUACCUCUAAAAGACCAAACACGGGGGGAGGACAUCUGUGAGGCUGUCUUGAAUUGUUUAAGAGCCAAAGGAAUAAAGACCACCCAUCUGGUGUCAGUAGCUACUGAUGGGGCUCCGAAUAUGACGGGAACGCACAAGGGAUUUGUGGCUUUACUGCAGAAGUCGCUGGACAGAAAGCUGCUGACUUUUCACUGCAUCUUGCACCAAGAGGCACUGUGCGCUCAAACAUUUCCUCCGGAAUGCACAGAAGUAAUGGAUGUUGUCAUUCAGAUUGUCAAUAAAAUAAUGGCAAAAAGUUUAAAUCACCGUCAAUUCCGUUUGUUACUGGACGAGAUGGAAAGCGCAUAUUCUGAUCUCCUGCUGCACAACAAAGUCCGGUGGCUGUCCAAAGGGGAGGUGCUGAAACGCUUUGUCGCGUGUCUGGAAGAAGUGAAAACUUUCCUGGGCAGCAAAGGGCUCACCUUUCCUGAGCUGGAACAGCCAGAGUGGCUGGAAAAGCUACACUUCAUGGUAGACAUGACAGCGCACCUGAACACGCUGAACACAGCUCUUCAGGGGAAAGGACGCACAGCCCUGCACAUGUUGGAGGAUGUUUUGGCAUUCGAGCGCAAGUUGACAGUGCUUGCCAGAGAUUUACAGAAAGGCACUUUGUCUCACUUCCCCAAUUUGAGAGAGUUCAAACAAGGUCACGACAUGAUAAUUUCGGAGUAUUUACAUUCUGCAAUCAUCGCAAUGCAAACAUCGUUUGGGAAACGCUUCUGUGAGUUCAGAGAGGAAAAAAACACAUUAUCCUUCCCGGUCACUCCCUUAAGCAUCGAUCCUUCCCUACUGAAUACGACUGCAUUGGCAGAUGUGAGUCAACCUGAUCUUGAGAUGGAACUGGCCGACAUAGCCGACAAAGACAUAUGGGUGUCCAAGUUUAGACGCUUGACAGCAGACCUUGAAGAUGUUGCCCGUCAGAAGGCCGUUCUUGCUCAGAAUCACAAAUGGAGUGAUAUUGAAAACCUUCUAAAACCGGACAAACUUGUGUUCGAAACAUGGAAUGCUAUGCCCGACAUUUAUGUAAACAUGAAAAAGUAUGCGCUUGGAGUCCUGUCGAUCUUUGGAUCCACAUAUGUAUGUGAGCAGGUGUUCUCCAACAUGAACUUUAUUAAAAACAAACAUCGCGCACGCCUCACAGAUGACAGCUUGCGAUCCUGUGUAAAGAUGAAGGUGACGUCAUACAGCCCUGAUGUGCAGACGCUGUGCGCUGAGGUCCAGGAGCAGAAAUCCCAUUAACCAAUUUUACGGUUGCAGAAGCCUGAAUAGCUGUUGUUCGGAAGAGAACCCAAGACAACCUCUGCCAACGAACCUGCUGAAUUUUUAACAGUGCUUUGGAACCAGAUACCUUCACCAUGGUAACAUUAUUUGGUUACAAGGGUCAGUGGAAAUUCCAAUGGAAAUUGAUAAUUCUGAUGGAAAGUCUCAACUGUGUCGUACUUAUUUCGCUUUUGUCUGAGGGGAAAUUGACACGCUGUACAGCAUGGGCAGGGGCAUGCUGACUUCUCCACAAAUAAUGCUUCAAGUAAAUGUUGAUCUUUCUAUUUUGACAUGGACCUACUUUGAGGCGAUGGCCUGAAACCUCACAGCAAUUUGGACUCACUCUAAUAUUAGUUCUUUCCCAAGAGGAAGAAUUAUUUAGUCAUAACCUUAAAAAUAUAAAGGAAGGUGGUGUCUUCGAUAUUGGAGAAGCUCAGACUAGUUGAAGGAGAUCUCACCAAAGACACUCACAUGUACUGUGGAGAGCAUUCUAGCUGGCUGCAUCAUUGUCUGGUAUGGGGGCAGGACGGUGCAAUUGCACAGGAUGGAAGUAAGAGGUGAGAGUUGUAAAAUUUGCCAGUUCCAUCAUGGGCACUGGCAUCCUGAGUAUUCAAGACAAGGAAACAGCAUUAUGAAGGACCUCAUGCACCCCUCAUACAAUCUCUUCUCCCUCCUGCCAUCUGGGAAAAGGCUCCGAAGCAUUCGGGCUGUCACGACCAGACUAUGUAACAGUUUCUUCCCCCAAGCUAUCAGACUCCUCAAUACCCGAAGCCUGGACUGACAGGAAGCCCUUCUGUCCUGUUUAUUAUUUACUGUAAUGCCUGCACUGUUUUUGUGCACUUUAUGCAGUCCAGUGUAGGUCUAUAGUCUAGUGUAGCUUUCUCUGUGUUUUUUUUAAUUACAUAGUGCAGUCUAGUUUUUUGUACUGUGUCAUGUAAACCAUGGUCCUGAAAAACGUUGUCUCAUUUUUACUAUGCACUGUACCAGCAGUUAUGGUCAAAAUGACAAUAAAAGUGACUUGACUUGAUCUUCAAGGAGCGAUGCCUCAGAAAGGCGGCGUGCAUCAUUAAGGACCCCCAUCACUCAGGACAUGCCUUGUUCUCAUUGAUACCAUCAGGAAGGAGGUACAGGAAAUUGAAGGCACACACUGAACAGUUCAGGAACAGCUUCUUCCCCUCUGUCAUCCAAGUUCUGAAUGGACACUGAACUCAUGGACACUACCUUCCUACUUCUUCAUUUUUAUUUUUGCACUACUUAAAACUUAACUAUUUUCUGCUGUUCUUUUAGGUUCUUCAGUGGUGUGGAGAGGGGAAGCUUGCUACGUGGGCAUCAGCUUGCUCUCCAUAUCAUACUUCUCAGGCUCGCAUGUCUAGGCAGCAAGGACACAGCAUCCAUUGUCAACCCUGACCGACAGAGGCCUCCCCUUUGAAAUUUCCCUCUCACCCUAAAUGCAUGGACUCUAGUAUUAGUCAUUUCAACCAUUAAAGAAUGAUACUGAUUGUCUAUCAAUGCCUCUCAUAAUCUUAUGAACUUCUAAAGUGUCUCCCCUCAGUCUCUGCUGCUAUAGAAAACAAUCAAAGUCUGUCAAGCCUAUUGCCCUCUAAUCCAGGCAGCAUCAGGAAGUUCAGGAGCCUCAGGACCCACACCACCAGGUUCAGGAACAGUUAUGUCCCCUCAGCCAUCAGCAUCUUGAACCAGAGAGAAUAACUUCACACAACUUCAAUUAUUUCCACAACCUAUGGGCUCUUCAUCUCAUAUUUCUUAUUUAUUUGUUAUUAUUAUUUCCUCUUUUUGUGUUUGCACUGUUUAUCAUCUUCUGUGCUCUGGUUGAAUGGCCACGUUGGUGUGGUCUUUCAUUGAUUCUGUUGUAGUUAUUAUUCUAUAGAUUUAUUGAGUAUGCCCACAAGAGCACAGAUUUCAGGGUUGUAUAUGGUGCCAUAUAUGUACUUUGAUAAUAAAAUUGACUUUGAAUUUUGAAGUUUUGAGCUGGAGGCCUGAGAAAUCGGCCUGCCCUGGAGUUAGAGGACUGUGUAUGUGUGUGGAUGGUUGAGAGGGAGGAACAGGGCUUGUUUCACAGAUAUUGCUUUGUUGUUUGUCGUGUUCUGUGUUGUUUUGCCAGUCACUGUGGGCAGAACAUGUGGUGACACUUGUGGACUGCCCCUAGCACAGCAAUACAUGUACAGUGCGUGUGAUUCCAACCCAUUUACACAGGAGCAGCACACAAAACGCUGGAUGGAUUCGGUGUGUCAGGGAGCAUCUAUGGAGGGAAAUGAAUGGUCACAGUUUCAGUCGAGACCCCAGUCCAUAUGAAAGGUCUCGACUGACUGAGUUCCACCACCACUUGUUCUCCACGUUGCUCCAGAUUCCAACGUCUACAGCAUCAUGUGUUCACUUCCAGCAGGAUCCCACGUGGAUGUGAAGACCACGCCGUUACUUGGAAGAGCAGAAAAUAAUCUCAGUGGUCCUGACAAACAUUCAUCCUCUGAUCAAGAUUAUUACAGAUGGAAAAUUCUGUUGAUGCCCGCAAAAUAAAAGCAGAUCUUCAUUGUCAUAUCUUCUUUCUGAGGAAGGUGAAGAGAGCUGGACUGUACAUAUCUAUAGUCAAGACACUACGGAUGUGCAGUAGAGAAGAUUCCUAACAAGCUGCAUCACUGCUUGGUACCGAAACUGCACUGCCGUGGACAGGAAAUCCCUGCGACAGGUAGUCAAAACUACCCAACACAUCACCAGCACCAGCCUACCUGCCAUCAAGGGCAUAUAUACAGAAAGGUGCCAGAAGAGGGCCAAAACAGUCAUGAAGGAUCCCACCCACCCAGCUCAUGGGAGGAGGCUAUGUUGUAUCCAUGCCAGGACCACCACACUCAAAAGCACUUACUUUCUCCAGGCCGUAAGACUGAGCACACCUCCACCCUACUAACCCAUCCCUCCACACCUCCAACCACCAUUACUUCACCAUUUCUAGUCAGUCACCUUAUGUACAGACACUCCUGUCCCUAGUGUCACUUUAUGGACACACAAUCAAUCUCAUUUACUGUGUUUUUAUUGUUGUGUUCUUUAUCUUAUUGUGUUUUUUUGUGUUGCAUCACAGCUGGAGUAAUCUGAAUCAUUCUUCUUCACACUUGUGUCCCAGAAAUGACA